UGACAAAACAAACUGCAAACCAGAAUGUUCCUUCAAGGGAGAAAUGGGAGGAAGAAAAAUUUGGCACUUUUUGGUGGAAAGCGCUGUGAAAAUGUGAAAACCUUCUCAAAAUGAUUUCACAAAUAAAG
rnacentral:lncRNA from 12 species